AAUCCUACGUCUGGCAGAACUACGACCUGUUCCCGAAAUUUCCGGCGCUGAAGGAUUUUCUCGCCUUCUGGCAGGAGAAGCUGGAGGGACCGCUGGUCUCGGUCACCGUCGCGCAUUCCAAGCUGAUCAAGCCGGCUGAGAUCAAGGCGAUCGACGGCAUGUUCCGGCUGCACUGAGCGGCUCGCGUCUCAAUUCCUCGCCGUCAUG
rnacentral:misc_RNA from 1 species